rnacentral:rRNA from 1 species
UACGUAGGGUGCAAGCGUUAAUCGGAAUUACUGGGCGUAAAGCGUGCGCAGGCGGUUAUGCAAGACAGAUGUGAAAUCCCCGGGCUCAACCUGGGAACUGCAUUUGCGACUGCAUGGCUAGAGUACGGUAGAGGGGGAUGGAAUUCCGCGUGUAGCAGUGAAAUGCGUAGAUAUGCGGAGGAACACCGAUGGCGAAGGCAAUCCCCUGGACCUGUACUGACGCUCAUGCACGAAAGCGUGGGGAGCAAACAGG